rnacentral:rRNA from 1 species
AUUGAACGCUGGCGGCAGGCCUAACACAUGCAAGUCGAGCGGCAGCGGGAAAGUAGCUUGCUACUUUUGCCGGCGAGCGGCGGACGGGUGAGUAAUGCCUGGGAAAUUGCCCAGUCGAGGGGGAUAACAGUUGGAAACGACUGCUAAUACCGCAUACGCCCUACGGGGGAAAGCAGGGGACCUUCGGGCCUUGCGCGAUUGGAUAUGCCCAGGUGGGAUUAGCUAGUUGGUGAGGUAAUAGCUCACCAAGGCGACGAUCCCUAGCUGGUCUGAGAGGAUGAUCAGCCACACUGGAACUGAGACACGGUCCGGACUCCUACGGGAGGCAGCAGUGGGGAAUAUUGCACAAUGGGGGAAACCCUGAUGCAGCCAUGCCGCGUGUGUGAAGAAGGCCUUCGGGUUGUAAAGCACUUUCAGCGAGGAGGAAAGGUUGAUGCCUAAUACGUAUCAACUGUGACGUUACUCGCAGAAGAAGCACCGGCUAACUCCGUGCCAGCCGCCGCCGUAAUAC